UGGAUCACCUCCUAACAGGGAGACAACACAAUGAUUUUGAUGCCUGAGUACUUUUAUUCUUAGGCCGAAAUCCUGUCACCUUAGGUCGAUCGGUACCUCAGCGUUGAAGCAACAGAGUUAACAGAGAUGUUGAUGUGUGUUGUGGAGAUGAUCAGUUCCUAAACUUUGUCUAGGUCACACCCCACAAGGGUUGAGUUUUCCUGGGCCAUUAGCUCAGGUGGUUAGAGCGCACCCCUGAUAAGGGUGAGGUCCCUGGUUCAAGUCCAGGAUGGCCCAUUCGGUGUUGGGGGUUUAGCUCAGUUGGUAGAGCGCCUGCUUUGCAAGCAGGAUGUCAGGAGUUCGAGUCUCCUAACCUCCACUGACCGAACUCAAUCUCCGGUUUUGCAUUGAAAGAUGGAGAACCACUCGAUUGUGAAGUGUGAUUUAGAUGUGUCCGCUGGAUGACCCCAGCUUCCUGUCAUUCCAAAUCAAAGUAAAUUAGUUACUUGAAUGAAUUUGGUUGAUAAGAUGCUGGGCUCGAGUUCAGUGAUCAAGUAAUUGGUCAUUGAAUUUGAAGUCUGGCAGAACCUUGACAACUGCAUAGGUAAGUCUGGAAAAACAAAGCAUCUUGCAGAUGCAUUGUUUUGAAUCUGAUCUUCUGAAAAGGAGAUUAGAUCUAGAACAAUGAAAUUCUUUUGAGCAAGAGCCGAGACUCUUGAGCGUUCUUUGAUUCGUGUCGAGCGAAUCAGAGUUUGAUCUUGUUUUAGGAAUCAGCGAAAGUUGAUGAUUAAAAUUUGAGAAUCUGCUUUCAACGGCGGUAAGCGUUCAGGAGAUUAAUUGGUCAAGCUACAAAGGGCUCACGGCGGAUACCUUGGCACACAGAGGCGAUGAAG
rnacentral:tRNA from 1 species